UAUCAUAUUUUAUUACGAAUG
rnacentral:piRNA from 1 species